UCUUCAAAGCACCAGGUGAGUCCUUGGCUACUUAGGGAGAGGCUAAUCCAAUUCAUCAUCUGUGAAGAGAGAGCAAAGCAUGUCCUGGGAGAAUUCUUCCUCUGGGCCCCAGAAGAAGUAUGUGAGUGAUGAGGGAAACCUCAGGACUAGGAAUCUAAGGAGCCAUAAAGCUGCUGUCCAUGGUUCUCUGCCAGAACACGGUCAUACCAUCCCCUCGGCAGAAAUAGGCUGUGUACCCGGCGGGAGAGGUCCACUGCUGGCUGACUCACCCAAGCAAGCUGGUUGUGAGAUGUUCCUGGUGAGCACCUUGCUUAUCAGGCAAGUUUGACAUUGUUAUAAAAUAUUUUAUUUGUGAGUAAUCUCUAUACCCAACGUGGGGCUCAAAAUCACAACCCCAAGAUAUCAUGCAUGUUGGGUAUUUUUAAGGUGAAGAUUGGGUCAAAGGUUGUAAGUAUGUUGUAAUGUAUAUACUUUCAAAAUUUGGGAGAAUUUUCUCUUUUCAAGUUCUCUAAAUGUUUUGCCGACUUUGGUAUGGGUAUAACAAUGCCAGGAACAGUGGCAAUGUGAGUUCUUGUGUCUCCAUAUUGUCGA